CCUGGCGAUUAUGGCGAGGGGGUCACACCUGUUCCCAUUCCGAACACAGAAGUUAAGCCCUUCAGCGCCGAUGGUACUGCCUCGUUCGCGGGGUGGGAGAGUAGGUCGUUGCCAGGU
rnacentral:rRNA from 1 species